rnacentral:rRNA from 1 species
GACGAACGCUGGCGGCGUGCUUAACACAUGCAAGUCGAACGAAGUGGCGCAAGGGUGAGUAAUACGUGGGUACCAUGCCCUCCUUUUUGGGAUAAGCCUUGGAAACGGGGUCUAAUACCGAAUAAAGGGGGAUGGGAUCGCGGCCUCUGAGCUUGUUGGUGGGGUGAUGGCCUACCAAGGCGGUGGCGGGUAGCCGGCCUGAGCGGGGGACCGGCCAUAUUGGGACGGAGGUACGGCCCAGAGUGCUACGGGUGGCGGCAGUGGGGGAUAGUGCGCAAUGGGGGAAGGGCUGAUGCAGCGACGCCGCGUGGGGGUUGAAGGCUUUCGGGUUGUAAACCUCUGUCGCAAGCGAACGGGUAGGUGGAGAAGAAGCGCCGGCUAACUACGUGCCAGCAGCCGCGGUAAUAC